rnacentral:ncRNA from 1 species
GGUUCUUCAGCGUUGUGUCGAGGGGCUUGAUAUAGAGGCUGUUGUUAUUCAGCGCCACGUUGCCCUUCGCCGUGGUCAUGUUGCCAUUCAGCGGAAUAUCCAGAUUAAGGCGGGCAUUGACGUUACCGUCGAGUUGCAGCUGCUGCAGCGCCGCGCCCAGAGAGUCGUCCAGCGGCGUCUCGUCAAAAUAGGGGCCGACGGCUUUGCCAGGGCCGUUGAUAUCAGCAUCGAUAAUCAGCUUCUCUUUCGAGUAGUCGGGAAUGGCGGCUCUGAGAUGGCUGGCGGUCACCCCUCCCAGCGCCACGCGGUCCGAUUUCAUCCACAGCCCGUCGUUAAGGAAGUCGAGUUCGAUAUCGAGGUUCUUCAGCGCGGGCCAGCCGGGCUGGAAGGCGAAGGUGGCGUUACGCAGCGGCAC